AGUGAAAUUGCUGGGUCAUGUGGUAACACUAUGUUUAACUUUUUGAAGAACUGCCAAGCUGUUUUCCAAAUCAGCUGUACCGUUUUAUAUUCCCAUCAGCAGU
rnacentral:pre_miRNA from 1 species